rnacentral:rRNA from 1 species
AGACUGGAUAGGAGAUAAGAAGGCAUCUUCUUAUUUUUAAAAGACCUAGCAAUAGGUAUGCUUAGGGAAGAGCUUGCGUCACAUUAGUUAGUUGGUGGGGUAAUGGCCUACCAAGACGAUGAUGUGUAGCCGGGCUGAGAGGUCGAACGGCCACAUUGGGACUGAGACACGGCCCAAACUCCUACGGGAGGCAGCAGUAAGGAAUUUUCGGCAAUGGAGGAAACUCUGACCGAGCAAUGCCGCGUGAACGAUGAAGUAUUUCGGUACGUAAAGUUCUUUUAUUAGGGAAGAAAAGAUGGUGGAAAAACCAUUAUGACGGUACCUAAUGAAUAAGCCCCGGCUAACUAUGUGCCAGCAGCCGCGGUAAUACAUAGGGGGCAAGCGUUAUCCGGAAUUAUUGGGCGUAAAGGGUGCGUAGGCGGUUAAAUAAGUUUAUGGUCUAAGUGCAACGCUCAACGUUGUGAUGCUAUAAAAACUGUUUAGCUAGAGUUGGAUAGAGGCAAGUGGAAUUCCGUGUGUAGUGGUAAAAUGCGUAAAUAUACGGAGGAACACCAGAAGCGAAGGCGGCUUGCUGGGUCUUAACUGACGCUGAGGCACGAAAGCGUGGGGAGCAAACAGGAUUAGAUACCCUGGUAGUCCACGCCCUAAACGAUGAGUACUAAACGUUGGAUAAAACCAGUGUUGAAGUUAACACAUUAAGUACUCCGCCUGAGUAGUACGUACGCAAGUAUGAAACUUAAAGGAAUUGACGGGACUCCGCACAAGCGGUGGAUCAUGUUGUUUAAUUCGAAGGUACCCGAAAAACCUCACCAGGUCUUGACAUGCUUUUGCAAAGCUGUAGAAAUACAGUGGAGGUUAUCAGAAGCACAGGUGGUGCAUGGUUGUCGUCAGCUCGUGUCGUGAGAUGUUGGGUUAAGUCCCGCAACGAGCGCAACCCUUGUUGUUAAUUGCCAUCAUUAAGUUGGGGACUUUAGCAAGACUGCCAAUGAUAAAUUGGAGGAAGGUGGGGACGACGUCAAAUCAUCAUGCCCCUUAUGACCUGGGCUACAAACGUGAUACAAUGGCUGUUACAAAGGGUAGCUAAAGUGUAAGCUUCUGGCGAAUCUCAAAAAAGCAGUCUCAGUUCGGAUUGAAGUCUGCAACUCGACUUCAUGAAGUUGGAAUCGCUAGUAAUCGCGAAUCAGCAUGUCGCGGUGAAUACGUUCUCGG